rnacentral:rRNA from 1 species
UACGGAGGAUCCAAGCGUUAUCCGGAUUUAUUGGGUUUAAAGGGUGCGUAGGCGGCCUAUUAAGUCAGGGGUGAAAGACGGUAGCUUAACUAUCGCAGUGCCUUUGAUACUGAUAGGCUUGAAUGUACUUGAGGUAGGCGGAAUGUGACAAGUAGCGGUGAAAUGCAUAGAUAUGUCACAGAACACCAAUUGCGAAGGCAGCUUACUAAAGUAUGAUUGACGCUGAGGCACGAAAGCGUGGGGAUCAAACAGGA